rnacentral:tRNA from 1 species
ACUCUUUUAGUAUAACUAAUUACAGUUGCCUUCCAAGCAAAAAAUUUACAAAAUAAAAAGAGUA